AUGGUGAGUUUCCACGAGGAGUUCUGGGAUGGUCAAAGGGGUGUAGAUAAAAGAGUAUGUGUGGAUUUGAGUCAUAGUAUCCACUAUGUUUCUACUCCACGUCUAUGGAAUACAUUAAAAUUUCUACACAAUCUGGGUGUGAUUUCCCACAUCUUAAAGGAAUUUCUAUCUCUCCUGAUAUAUAAUGCCGACACUAACCUCCAAAUUCCUCAUUCGAAUUGUAUACCAUUGAUAGGUGAAUUGAGUGACGUGCUCCUAAAUCUCUUUUUGCAACAUCAAUUCGAUCGGGAGGUCCUCAGCUGGUAUGAAGGUGUUCUUUAUACAAGAUGGGACACCAAUGUCCUUCUAGCUUCAACAUGCUAUGAUUCAUAUCAUCUUGACCGUCCUCAAAUUCUGGACAUCUUAAGGCACGUAAAUCUAAGUGGAUUUAUUUCCGUGAUCGAACGUGGUGGCGGGGGCAUGCACGUGAACCCUGAAAAAUCUCAGAUAUUCGUCAGUGCAGAUGGUGAUGUUAGUAUCCCUCAACUGAGCGAAGGUGAGACUGACUAUGAUAGUGAAUGA
rnacentral:rRNA from 1 species